rnacentral:lncRNA from 1 species
CCCAGAUUGGCUUUGAAUUUUCCAUCCUCUUGCCUCAGCCUCUGAAGUGCUGUGUGAAGACAUCACACAGGCCAGUGACACCAGGCCUGAGUCCAUACUUACCUACAUUCUAACUGAAAGGACACUGGUGGUGACUAGCACCUCCAUCAUGACUCACAUCACCGUGUCUUAGCUGGUCUCCCUACUCAGCUUACAAAGCUUCAACCUGCUGUUGGCAGCGAGGCAGUAGUGGGUAUGGAAGGGUCCUUCAGGCUGAGUCAUAGGCAGGCACCCCCCUCCCUCUCCAGAGGGACGUGGACACAAGAGCCCCUGCUUUGUGCACCAAAGACAUCACAAUGGCUGGCUGUGGCAGUUGUAAGAGCUCUCCUUUCUCCCCAGCGGGGCCUCUCCAAGGAAACUUCUGGAACCAGGGGCCCGUCCACUCAGAACCUGGAACCCCCUGAGUCUGCUCAAUGAGUACUUCUGAAACAAAGGACUCUCAUGGCACCAAGAGAGAACCCUGACCAUGAUGUUAGGCAGUCCAGGGAGACGCCACCUUCUUCCUACCCUCCUAGCUCAAGAGGACCAGGAUCACCUGGAGUUUACCCUGUGUACAACCAAGUCCCACCAGGCCCGUUCACUGGCAUACCUUAUAUGCCAACUUCGAUCCCAGUGCAGGCCGUAUGUCCCUACUGUGGGAACCGUAUCAUGACAGUGACCACCUAUACCCCAGGCCUCCUCACCUGGCUGCUGUGCAGUGGCCUCUUUGUGUUUGGGUCGCCAUCACUGCUACUGCCAAGAAACAGAGGGCUCAGUAUAGCUCUCAGCCCAGCUCUGGAGAACUGCCCCCAAAGAACUGAGACCCACGCAGAAGUGUGACGAGGGUGCAGGUCAGCACAGGGACCUACUCAGGUGAACACACACUGCUUCUGAGGCUGCAGGUGCUUCCUGGGCUGCUGUCUCAUCCCCUUCUGCAUACGGAGCACCAUGGAUGUGACCCACUCCUGCCCCAUGUGCCAUCACCAGAUCUACUACUUCCAUCGCCUGGGAUUAUGACUAUAAACAGCAAUAAAGCAACAUCAGGG